GCUCAAUUUAAUGCGUCUUUGCUUUCAUUUUUUGUUUUUCAUGACAAUCUAUUCAUACAACUUCCAGAACGUUAAAUACCAAAACCUGAAAGUUUCAACCGUCGACCAGUUGAAGGUUUAUAAAACCAUCUUUUAUUGCUACAAACACUUUAUCUGACAUCAUUGAGAAAUGGCAAACUUGUGAUUCAAAUAUGGACAACUUUGUGUAAAGCUUAAGAUCCCACAUGGAUGGAGUUGUGAAAUUCCCUUUAUCUCCUGUGUCAUUCACUUCGAUUACUCUUACUAGUUUGUUAUUACUUAUGUGUCAUGGUGAUUCAUGGCCAAGAAUGUUUAUCUGUAGUUUGGUUUCUUUCUUGAUGUCAGUUGUUUGUUCAUAUAAUGAUGAUGGGCCCCAUUGUUAUACGAACCCACUAAAGGUGGUCAACUGAUACUCACAGAAGAUCAACUCUGCACUAAGCAUUCUUUGAGUGAUAAUAUAACUGGAGUAUUCAAGUGGUCCCUUUUCCUUCGCUCGAAGUUCCCAUAAGAGUGCAUUGUAAAUUGUAUUCGAUAGAAAUGGCGGUUCAUGAUUUAGGAGCUACUUUAUUGGUUAAUGAUGUCGGUUACUUCGUGUAUGAAAUGGUAUAAACAUAUUGAAUGGACAUCUCAUAACGGCAUAUGUACGUAUGAACAUUAACAUUGAAGUGAUUGGACUAUUCUACAAAGAUGGAAAACAAGCGAAUGGAAAAACACGAUCCAUGUCUUGUGGUUUGUAAGUUGUGUUGAUACGUGCUGUAUGAGUAACUGCAUAAGAUAGUUAAAAAAGGAUCCUGAUGGUCUAUUUUUAUAAUUUGAACCUUAA